GACGAACGCUGGCGGCGUGCUUAACACAUGCAAGUCGAACGGUGAAGCGCCUUCCUUUUUGGUGGGUGUGGAUGAGUGGCGAACGGGUGAGUAACACGUGAGUAACCUGCCCCCUUCUUCUGGAUAACCGCAUGAAAGUGUGGCUAAUACGGGAUAUUCUGGGUCUGUCGCAUGAUGGGUCUGGGAAAGAUAUUGUUUCGGUGGGGGAUGGGCUCGCGGCCUAUCAGCUUGUUGGUGGGGUGAUGGCCUACCAAGGCGGUGACGGGUAGCCGGCCUGAGAGGGUGGACGGUCACACUGGGACUGAGACACGGCCCAGACUCCUACGGGAGGCAGCAGUGGGGAAUAUUGCACAAUGGGCGCAAGCCUGAUGCAGCGACGCCGCGUGAGGGAUGGAGGCCUUCGGGUUGCGAACCUCUUUCGCCAGUGAAGCAGGCCUGCCUCGUUUGUGGGUGGGUUGACGGUAGCUGGAGAAGAAGCGCCGGCUAACUACGUG
rnacentral:rRNA from 1 species